GAGGUUACAGUCUUUCCCUGAGAGAAGGGAGGGAUAUGUGAGGGGUUGCAGCGAUAAGUUGCCUAAAGUUAUUCCAUGGGAGGAGACUCCCAAACCCAGAGGAGUGGGGAAGGCCAGAGGUAUGGAAGUGGCUCAAGGAAAUAUAGUAAGGUGCAGGGAACACAGGUUGGCUGUUGUGUAGAGGGUCCUUGAGCCGGAAACCAGAGUAGAGGGUGGGCCUAGGUUCCCCUGCCAGCUGCUGUGGGGCUGGCACUGUAAGGCAGUGAAGCAAAAGACUGCCUGGGAAUGCUGGAGAGCAGGAACCUUUAUGCACUUCCCUGCUGGAAGGUGCCCCCCCCCCCCAAUAGUGACCUGGCCAGAGGGCUGAGUCCUGAAGAGGACAGCUGUGGCUCCUGAGAGUGAGAGAGGAGCUGCAGAGAAGAAACUGAUGAUGUGUAAUUGCUGGAAGGGGUGUGACUGAGCUAAUUCCCAGGCCUGCCAGGAGGCGGUGCUAUCCAGUGCAUACAGCCAGGACUUUGUGUUCCAGAAGGGGCCUCAAUGCUUGCCGAAGGGUUGGAAGGACUUGACUGACUAGAGCUCCAUGAGACUGAUGGGUGACCUCUGGUGCACAAUUGAACUCCCCCUCCAGUGAAGCCCCGUGGGCAUAUUGAACAUUCUAGGAACAAAAAGCACGAUAAAGGUUCUGGGUAAAAUGUUUAAAAAUGCCUAAGUGAAGGAAAAGGGUAAGACCUUCACUUUUGAAAAUGGGACUUAGGCCCCUAAUUCGCUUAAUUACUUUUGAAAAGGUCAUCCAUUGGCUACGGCCUCAAGUUGGUUACUCAAGUGUUCCUCAUAUAGGACGAUCAGUUCUUGGUGUGUUCCCCUAAUGUCUGCAUCAGAGUGAUUUCUGUCACUGGAAUAUUUUAGUCUCUUAAAAAGACUGAUAAAUGAUAGCACAGGGGUCUGUGUUCUCUCAGUGACUUCCACAGCAAAUCUGCUGAAGGCACCAGUCGAAAGUUUUUCCUAACUGCCAGCAUGGCAAACUCCUCCUUGGAUCUGACAAUCAAGCAUUGUUCUUUCUACCAUAUGCAGAUUUAGAUGUUGCAGAGUUAUGUGCAGUAAAGUUUACACUGAGAUUUGCCAUGACAGCAGGGUCUAAAUCCCUUUGUUAUACAUGUAAAAUAAACACUUGUUAGUCGGUAUCAAAUGUACAUCACAUCUUCUCAAAGUACAGGUUGAAUUUUCUGGGAAGUUAGAGGUAAAUUUGUCCAGUGGUUUGAGUUAUAAAUGUAAGUCUACAAACUAAGUUGUCUUCUUCCCCCCCCUCCCCCGCCAGAUUCCUCUGAUUUUGAGAAUGCAGCCUCUUUGGGUAGGGACUAUCAUGUACUGUAUGCACAAUGAGGCUCUGCCUUCCUACAGGCUUCUAGAUACUAUUGCAAUAUAAAUGUUUAAC